rnacentral:tRNA from 4 species
GGGCAUUUGGCACAGUGGUAGCGCGCACGCUUCGCAUGCGUGAGGUCUAGGGUUCGACUCCCUAAAUGUCCA